UACAGAGGGUGCGAGCGUUGUUCGGAAUUAUUGGGCGUAAAGGGCGCGUAGGCGGUGCGGUAAGUCACCUGUGAAAUCUCCUGGCUCAACUGGGAGCUUGCAGGCGAAACUGCCGUGCUGGAGUGUGGGAGAGGUGCGUGGAAUUCCUGGUGUAGCGGUGAAAUGCGUAGAUAUCAGGAGGAACACCGGUGGUGUAAACGGCUUUCUGGACCGUAACUGACGCUGAGGCACGAAAGCGUGGGUAGCAAACAGG
rnacentral:rRNA from 1 species